GGGUUGUGAGGUUAAGUGACUAAGCGUACACGGUGGAUGCCUAGGCAGUCAGAGGCGAUGAAGGGCGUGCUAAUCUGCGAAAAGCGUCGGUAAGGUGAUAUGAACCGUUACAACCGGCGAUACCCGAAUGGGGAAACCCAGUGUGUUUCGACACACUAUCAUGUCAUGAAUACAUAGUGGCAUGAGGCGAACCGGGGGAACUGAAACAUCUAAGUACCCCGAGGAAAAGAAAUCAACCGAGAUUCCCCCAGUAGCGGCGAGCGAACGGGGAGGAGCCCAGAACCUGAAUCGGCUUGUGUGUUAGUGGAAGCGUCUGGAAAGUCGCGCAGUAAAGGGUGAUAGCCCCGUACACUAAAAUGCACAGGUCGUGAGUUCGAUGAGUAGGGCGGGACACGUGACAUCCUGUCUGAAUAUGGGGGGACCAUCCUCCAAGGCUAAAUACUCCUGACUGACCGAUAGUGAACCAGUACCGUGAGGGAAAGGCGAAAAGAACCCCGGCGAGGGGAGUGAAAUAGAACCUGAAACCGUGUACGUACAAGCAGUGGGAGCACCUUCGUGGUGUGACUGCGUACCUUUUGUAUAAUGGGUCAGCGACUUAUAUUUUGUAGCAAGGUUAACCGUAUAGGGGAGCCGUAGGGAAACCGAGUCUUAACUGGGCGAAUAGUUGCAAGGUAUAGACCCGAAACCCGGUGAUCUAGCCAUGGGCAGGUUGAAGGUUGGGUAACACUAACUGGAGGACCGAACCGACUAAUGUUGAAAAAUUAGCGGAUGACUUGUGGCUGGGGGUGAAAGGCCAAUCAAACCGGGAGAUAGCUGGUUCUCCCCGAAAGCUAUUUAGGUAGCGCCUCGUGAACUCAUCUUCGGGGGUAGAGCACUGUUUCGGCUAGGGGGCCAUCCCGGCUUACCAAACCGAUGCAAACUCCGAAUACCGAAGAAUGUUAUCACGGGAGACACACGGCGGGUGCUAACGUCCGUCGUGAAGAGGGAAACAACCCAGACCGCCAGCUAAGGUCCCAAAGUCAUGGUUAAGUGGGAAACGAUGUGGGAAGGCAUAGACAGCCAGGAUGUUGGCUUAGAAGCAGCCAUCAUUUAAAGAAAGCGUAAUAGCUCACUGGUCGAGUCGGCCUGCGCGGAAGAUGUAACGGGGCUAAACCAUGCACCGAAGCUGCGGCAGCGACGCUUAGGCGUUGUUGGGUAGGGGAGCGUUCUGUAAGCCGUUGAAGGUGGCCUGUGAGGGUUGCUGGAGGUAUCAGAAGUGCGAAUGCUGACAUAAGUAACGAUAAAGCGGGUGAAAAGCCCGCUCGCCGGAAGACCAAGGGUUCCUGUCCAACGUUAAUCGGGGCAGGGUGAGUCGACCCCUAAGGCGAGGCUGAAAAGCGUAGUCGAUGGGAAACAGGUUAAUAUUCCUGUACUUGGUGUUACUGCGAAGGGGGGACGGAGAAGGCUAGGCUAGCCGGGCGACGGUUGUCCCGGUUUAAGCGUGUAGGGGGUGUGACCUGGUAAAUCCGGUUGCAUAUCAACCCUGAGGCGUGAUGACGAUGCACUACGGUGCAGAAGUAGUUGAUGCCCUGCUUCCAGGAAAAGCCUCUAAGCUCCAGGUAACAUUGAAUCGUACCCCAAACCGACACAGGUGGUCAGGUAGAGAAUACCAAGGCGCUUGAGAGAACUCGGGUGAAGGAACUAGGCAAAAUGGUGCCGUAACUUCGGGAGAAGGCACGCUGGCAUGUAGGUGAAGUCCCUUGCGGAUGGAGCUGAAGCCAGUCGAAGAUACCAGCUGGCUGCAACUGUUUAAUAAAAACACAGCACUGUGCAAACACGAAAGUGGACGUAUACGGUGUGACGCCUGCCCGGUGCUGGAAGGUUAAUUGAUGGGGUCAGCCGCAAGGCGAAGCUCUUGAUCGAAGCCCCAGUAAACGGCGGCCGUAACUAUAACGGUCCUAAGGUAGCGAAAUUCCUUGUCGGGUAAGUUCCGACCUGCACGAAUGGCGUAAUGAUGGCCAGGCUGUCUCCACCCGAGACUCAGUGAAAUUGAACUCGCUGUGAAGAUGCAGUGUACCCGCGGCAAGACGGAAAGACCCCGUGAACCUUUACUAUAGCUUGACACUGAACAUUGAGCCUUGAUGUGUAGGAUAGGUGGGAGGCUUUGAAGCGUGGACGCCAGUCUGCGUGGAGCCAUCCUUGAAAUACCACCCUUUAAUGUUUGAUGUUCUAACUCGGCCCCAUAAUCUGGGGUGAGGACAGUGUCUGGUGGGUAGUUUGACUGGGGCGGUCUCCUCCCAAAGAGUAACGGAGGAGCACGAAGGUUAGCUAAUCACGGUCGGACAUCGUGAGGUUAGUGCAAAGGCAUAAGCUAGCUUGACUGCGAGAGUGACGGCUCGAGCAGGUACGAAAGUAGGUCUUAGUGAUCCGGUGGUUCUGAAUGGAAGGGCCAUCGCUCAACGGAUAAAAGGUACUCCGGGGAUAACAGGCUGAUACCGCCCAAGAGUUCAUAUCGACGGCGGUGUUUGGCACCUCGAUGUCGGCUCAUCACAUCCUGGGGCUGAAGUAGGUCCCAAGGGUAUGGCUGUUCGCCAUUUAAAGUGGUACGCGAGCUGGGUUUAGAACGUCGUGAGACAGUUCGGUCCCUAUCUGCCGUGGGCGUUGGAAGAUUGAGAGGGGUUGCUCCUAGUACGAGAGGACCGGAGUGAACGCACCACUGGUGUUCGGGUUGUCAUGCCAAUGGCAUUGCCCGGUAGCUAAGUGCGGAAAAGAUAAGCGCUGAAAGCAUCUAAGCGCGAAACUUGCCUCAAGAUGAGUCUUCCCUGGGCCUUUAAGGCCCCUGAAGGAACGUUUAAGACUAAGACGUUGAUAGGCUGGGUGUGUAAGUGCAGCGAUGCAUUGAGCUAACCAGUACUAAUGAUCCGUGAGGCUUAACCUUACAACACCGAAGGUGUUU
rnacentral:rRNA from 1 species